UACGUAGGGUGCAAGCGUUAAUCGGAAUUACUGGGCGUAAAGCGCGCGUAGGCGGCUUUUCAAGUCGAUUGUGAAAUCCCCGGGCUUAACCUGGGAACUGCAGUCGAGACUGUCUAGCUAGAGUAUGGGAGAGGGAAGUGGAAUUUCAGGUGUAGCGGUGAAAUGCGCAGAUAUCAGGAGGACACCGGUGGCGAAGGCGGGACUCUGGGCCGAUACUGACGCUGAGGAGCGAAAGCGUGGGGAGCGAACAGG
rnacentral:rRNA from 1 species